UCCAUUUAACCUAGACUCCUGAGCCUCCAGAACUCUUAAUUUCAAAAAAUAAUUAAAGCUAAGCAGGAUUUGGCCUGGUUAGUGCUUGGAUGGGAGACCACCUAGGAAGACCAGGUGCUGUAGGAG
rnacentral:rRNA from 1 species